rnacentral:rRNA from 1 species
GACCAGACUCGCCCGCGGGGUUCAGCCGGCAUUCGUGCCGGUGUACUUCCCCGUGGGCGGGCCAGCGUCGGUUUGGGCGGCCGGUCAAAGGCCCUCGGAAUGUAUCACCUCUCGGGGUGUCUUAUAGCCGAGGGUGCAAUGCGGCCUGCCUGGACCGAGGAACGCGCUUCGGCUCGGACGCUGGCGUAAUGGUCGUAAAUGACCCGUCUUGA